CCAUGAAACUAACCAGUCGCCCAUUGCUGUCGAAAUAGAUACCGUUUUAUUGACUGACACCAAUAUUUGGAACUUCUGACUGAGCUGCCCCAUGAGCAAGCAUACCAGAGAAAAAAACUCGUUCCACUUAAGUCAACGGGAGUGGAGCAACUCUCUUUCUAUACGGCUCUGGAAGCCCCCGAUGUCUUUAACGCCGCAAAAGAAUGCUAACCAAUGGAAAAUGUACAGGCGGGGUUACAUCUGUAGUUCUGUCCUAUAUAUAUGCCCGCCCCCUCCCGCACCUAAAGAUACUUGAACAAAAUGGCGUCUGAGUCAGCUGACUGCGAAAUGCAUACCGGUAUGCUACAGAGACAGCAGGCCUAGUAGGAGGAUCAGGAAACGAAAUCUCGGAGCGUGAAACACAGCGGCUAUUUGACUGGAAGCAGAGACAGGAAUUGGCUGGAAGACAUAUCCUGCCCUGUGUGUCAGUUAAGGAGACUGACUAAACAAGCUUUUUGUAUUAAUUAUUUUUACGUUUGAACUAGUUUGACCUGUUCGUAAAUAACAUUGACCGGACUCGGCGUCAGUGUCCGCUAACACUAUACCCUAAUAGCAUUUGAUAGCAAUGGAACUACAUGGAAAAACUCAGGGUAUGCAUGCUGGAAAUUAAUUUUAGAAACAGGUGGAUUACAUUAUGUAACAUGGAAUCAAACAUUGAUCGCCGAAGAAGGACUCGGCUGUGGUUAAGUUAUAAGCUCUACUAUCUAAAUUCUGUUGAAGUGGCAGCCCUGUGUCGCAUGGCAUUUGUUUGUAGCAUGUAGGGCGAAGAGCCCUCGAUAGAGCGCCCUACUGCUAUUGGUCUACAUGACACCAACAAUAUUCCUCAUUGGCUAGGCGAAGCAAACAGGAAAUGUCUUGGUACCGUACAGAUGGUGGGUCUAGCAGCUUGGUUUGACUUGAUAUAGUCAGAAGUUAUUCUGUUUUCUGUAAAUCUUAUUGAGGGGUGGAACGUGGGCCACGCAGCAUGUAUAUCAUGAUCAUGUCUCCCAUGCCGCUACUGAUGACAUCUUAGCAUGCCAGCAUCCCUACCCAAGAUGAUCAGUCUACUUUUAUUUCCAGUAUCUGUCUUGAAACGUGCUCUUAAAAUUAAUUAAAUAAA